AGAGUUUGAUCAUGGCUCAGAAUCAACGCUGGCGGCGCGCUUAACACAUGCAAGUCGCACGAGAAAGUGGAGCAAUCCAUGAGUAAAGUGGCGUACGGGUGAGUAACACGUGGAUCAUCUACCUCUUGGUGGGGAAUAACGCUGGGAAACCGGCGCUAAUACCGCAUAAGCCUGAAAAGGGAAAGCAGCAAUGCGCCGAGAGAGGAGUCCGCGGCCGAUUAGCUAGUUGGUAGGGUAAUGGCCUACCAAGGCAAUGAUCGGUAGCCGGCCUGAGAGGGCACACGGCCACACUGGCACUGAAACACGGGCCAGACUCCUACGGGAGGCAGCAGUGGGGAAUCUUGCACAAUGGGGGCAACCCUGAUGCAGCGACGCCGCGUGAGUGAUGAAGCCCUUCGGGGUGUAAAGCUCUUUCGGCAGGAACGAUAAUGACGGUACCUGAAGAAGAAGCUGCGGCUAACUACGUGCCAGCAGCCGCGGUAAUACGUAGGCAGCAAGCGUUGUUCGGAGUUACUGGGCGUAAAGAGUGUGUAGGCGGUUCUCUAAGUUCCGUGUGAAAUCUCCCGGCUCAACUGGGAGGGUGCGCGGAAAACUGGAGGGCUUGAGUAUGGGAGAGGAAAGCGGAAUUCCUGGUGUAGCGGUGAAAUGCGUAGAUAUCAGGAGGAACACCUGCGGUGUAGACGGCUUUCUGGACCAUCACUGACGCUGAGACACGAAAGCGUGGGUAGCAAACAGGAUUAGAUACCCUAGUAGUCC
rnacentral:rRNA from 1 species